AGACCAAGAUGGAAACUUAAAGGAAAAUCAAGGCAAACACGAGACUGAAACGGAUCGAAAUGAUAGGAAUGCAGGGCGAGAACACAAAUGGAAGCAAGACACGCAGCGUCAAGUGGAAGCGGCGGCGGCGGCGGCGGUUGAGGAGGA
rnacentral:ribozyme from 1 species